AACAAAAGCUUGCUGUGAAAAUAACUGUAAAUUGCUUUCAUUCUGGAUUAAUCAUAUUCAAACUUAAUCAUCAUAUAGCACCUGUUGAGGAUAAUUGUAAAAUUCUCUUUUACUCUUUUUCUAUAAGGUAAAUCAUACCUGAUUAGUGCCCGUUUGGAUCGACUUAUUUUAGGUGCUUUAAGCCAAAAUAGCUUUUAUUUUGGAGAAGAUAAAGAUAUGUUACGCCUGGUUAGUUCUUGGAUGAUCUGCAUAAUAUCCUUAUCUGUGAGGGAAAGAAGUAAAAGAAAAUUAUCAUACACAGCUUUGAAGAUGUAUAGGAAGUUUAUGAACAAGAAGCUCCAGAUUUUCUCAAGUAUCCAACGCCACACGCGUUAGAGUCUGUUCCACUAUACCUACUUGAAAUGGCCCCACAGGAGCACUCAACAUUGAUUUUCAACUGUCCAUCACAAUUGGUAGCCUAUUUCUUUGCUAAGAUUCAUGGGGUAUGCUGAGGAGGUACCGGCAUUGAUCAUCACAGUAGGCACAUUAUUGUUCCUCCCCAAAUUCCAUGAUUGAACGUGACAACUAUGACGAAGCCAAAGCUAAGCUUAAAGAGAAUUAGGGGAAUUGAAGAUGUAGAUGAAGAGUUCAAUGAUUUAG